UACGGGGGGAGCAAGCGUUGUUCGGAUUUACUGGGCGUAAAGGGCGCGUAGGCGGCCACCGCAAGUCGACUGUGAAAUCUCCGGGCUUAACCCGGAAAGGUCAGCCGAAUACUGCGGGCUAGAGGUGCAGAAGGGGCAACUGGAAUUCUCGGUGUAGCGGUGAAAUGCGUAGAUAUCGAGAGGAACACCUGCGGCGAAAGCGGCUCACUGGACCAUAACUGACGCUGAUGCACGAAAGCUAGGGGAGCAAACAGG
rnacentral:rRNA from 1 species